GAUGAACGCUAGCUACAGGCUUAACACAUGCAAGUCGAGGGGAAACGAUAUUGGAAGCUUGCUUCCGAUAGGCGUCGACCGGCGCACGGGUGAGUAACGCGUAUCCAACCUGCCCACCACUUGGGGAUAACCUUGCGAAAGUAAGACUAAUACCCAAUGACGUCUCUAGAAGACAUCUGAAAGGGAUUAAAGAUUUAUCGGUGAUGGAUGGGGAUGCGUCUGAUUAGCUUGUUGGCGGGGUAACGGCCCACCAAGGCGACGAUCAGUAGGGGUUCUGAGAGGAAGGUCCCCCCACAUUGGAACUGAGACACGGUCCAAACUCCUACGGGAGGCAGCAGUGAGGAAUAUUGGUCAAUGGGCGAGAGCCUGAACCAGCCAAGUAGCGUGCAGGAAGACGGCCCUAUGGGUUGUAAACUGCUUUUAUGCGGGGAUAAAGUGGGCCACGCGUGGCCUUUUGCAGGUACCGCAUGAAUAAGCAUCGGCUAACUCCGUGCCAGCAGCCGCGG
rnacentral:rRNA from 1 species